ACGGGAGACACACGGCGGGUGCUAACGUCCGUCGUGAAGAGGGAAACAACCCAGACCGCCAGCUAAGGUCCCAAAGUCAUGGUUAAGUGGGAAACGAUGUGGGAAGGCCCAGACAGCCAGGAUGUUGGCUUAGAAGCAGCCAUCAUUUAAAGAAAGCGUAAUAGCUCACUGGUCGAGUCGGCCUGCGCGGAAGAUGUAACGGGGCUAAACCAUGCACCGAAGCUGCGGCAGCGACGCUUAUGCGUUGUUGGGUAGGGGAGCGUUCUGUAAGCCUGCGAAGGUGUGCUGUGAGGCAUGCUGGAGGUAUCAGAAGUGCGAAUGCUGACAUAAGUAACGAUAAAGCGGGUGAAAAGCCCGCUCGCCGGAAGACCAAGGGUUCCUGUCCAACGUUAAUCGGGGCAGGGUGAGUCGACCCCUAAGGCGAGGCCGAAAGGCGUAGUCGAUGGGAAACAGGUUAAUAUUCCUGUACUUGGUGUUACUGCGAAGGGGGGACGGAGAAGGCUAUGUUGGCCGGGCGACGGUUGUCCCGGUUUAAGCGUGUAGGCUGGUUUUCCAGGCAAAUCCGGAAAAUCAAGGCUGAGGCGUGAUGACGAGGCACUACGGUGCUGAAGCAACAAAUGCCCUGCUUCCAGGAAAAGCCUCUAAGCAUCAGGUAACAUCAAAUCGUACCCCAAACCGACACAGGUGGUCAGGUAGAGAAUACCAAGGCGCUUGAGAGAACUCGGGUGAAGGAACUAGGCAAAAUGGUGCCGUAACUUCGGGAGAAGGCACGCUGAUAUGUAGGUGAAGUCCCUCGCGGAUGGAGCUGAAAUCAGUCGAAGAUACCAGCUGGCUGCAACUGUUUAUUAAAAACACAGCACUGUGCAAACACGAAAGUGGACGUAUACGGUGUGACGCCUGCCCGGUGCCGGAAGGUUAAUUGAUGGGGUCAGCGCAAGCGAAGCUCUUGAUCGAAGCCCCGGUAAACGGCGGCCGU
rnacentral:rRNA from 1 species